CAACGGCCGACAGAUGGCGUCGCAGCGUCGAUCGUGUGUCACAUUGCAGUCACACGUCAAAAACAUUUGAAACGUAUGUUUAAAUAUAGAAUGUGGUUUAAUUAUUUACAGUUGCGAUGUUUACGCGGUAUUAUGCGAGAAUACGUUGUGCGAUAUCGUUUCGUAACGGAUUGAUCGUUGAUGUUGAACGAACGUCCUUAACCUUAAAAGAAGGUUAAUGUUUUCAUUCAACAGAAACGUGUACCUGUGCGAAAUUGCUUACAGAAAAUGUCACAUCGUCUGAGUAACAAACAAAAAUUAAAGUCGCUUUUGCAAGUGACCACCACCGCCGCUAUGUUUUACGGUGGCCUUUGCUUCUAUCAGGGCGAUGAGAACUUUUAUAACAAAUUUGUCAUGCCGCUUGCACGGUUGGUGAAUCCUGAGGUUGCGCACAAUGCAGCAGUGCAGGUAUUAAAGUGGGGCCUUUUGUCUAUGAAAGAUGCAAACGAUCCAGCUUCUCUAAAUGUCGACGUUUGGGGCAUAAAGUUCAAGAAUCCGGUAGGAAUGGCAGCCGGUUUUGACAAACAAGGAGAAGCUGUAGCUGGCUUGCACAAAAUAGGAUUUAGCUUUGUAGAAAUAGGAUCAGUUACACCAAAGCCUCAGCCUGGCAAUUUAAAACCAAGACUGUUCAGAUUGUUGGAAGACAAUGCUGUUGUCAAUCGAUACGGCUUCAACAGCGAGGGCCACGAUAUUGUGUGGGAACGUUUGCAAAAGCUCAAGAAGAGUCAGGACUUUGACGGUAUUGUCGGGGUUAAUUUAGGUAAAAACAAAAUAUCAGAGGAUGCCGCGCAAGAUUACAUAGAUGGCAUUAGGAAAUUUGCGGACGUGGCAGAUUACUUUGUAAUCAACGUAUCUAGCCCCAAUACACCUGGAUUGAGAAUGUUGCAGAACAAACGUGAUUUAGAAGACCUGCUGACAAAAAUAAACAACGUCAGACAAUCUAUACAAAGCAAACAGCCAUUGCUGUUGAAACUGGCUCCAGAUUUAUCAGAUUCUGAAAAGCAAGAGAUUGCAGAUGUAAUAGUUAAGAAAAAGUCGAAGGUAGACGGUCUGAUAUUAUGUAAUACUACAGUUACGCGUAAUAAUUUAACAAGCCCUCUCAAGGAGGAACCCGGGGGACUCAGUGGUGCUCCUUUGGCUGACAUGUCCACUGCAAUGAUCUCAGAUAUGUACAAACGAACACACGGUGCUAUUCCUAUCAUUGGAGUCGGUGGAAUAUUUACUGGAGCGGACGCUUACGACAAAAUUAAAGCUGGCGCUUCUUUGGUGCAAGUUUACACGUCGUUUACGUAUCGGGGGCCACCAGUUAUAGGAAAGAUCAAACGAGAAUUGGACGAUAUGUUGAAAAAGGACGGCCUGAAGUCUAUUAAAGACGCGGUCGGAAAAGAUGCCAAUAUUAGAUAAACGGUUCUAUAGUUACCUGUUAAUUUUUGCUACGUUGAAAGCAGUAUAUCAGAAAUAUGUACAUUUUAUACGAGUGACCAUGUUGUUUUACAGAAAGUUGUUCAAUCGUUGCAGUUCUCAUUUUAAACAUUAUGUAUACCUCAGACAUAAUCCUCUGAAGAGAAGAACUUACUCUAGUAGGAUGAUUCAAUAUUCAAAAUUUGAAACUACAGAAACGCCACAAUAAUUAUACUGU